UUCGGACCGGUCGAUAAGACCGAGAAAACGUCCGACUGUACGAGUAACGGAAAUCGAAGCUCUUGAUUUUGGCUUUAAAUAUUUCACUAUAUUCGCAGUAGGUGCACCGUUGGUUCAUUUAAAAAACGAAACGGUUCGUUUUAGCGCGGAAACUGCAGGUCCCUCCGUUUUCGCCAUAAUAUUAGUGUCGUUGGCAGGUACUUUUUACGGCACGGUCGGACAAACCGAUCCGUCUUGUCGAAAAUAACAAACCAUCGUGACUUUCGCCCUAAACAAUUACAAUAUUAUUUGUUUGUAACAUUAUAUUGCGGUAUUCACGGUUACUAUAUGGUUAAAACGUGUUCAGGUGUAGCGU